GGCGAACGCUGGCGGCAGGCUUAACACAUGCAAGUCGAACGGGCUUCUUCGGAAGUCAGUGGCAGACGGGUGAGUAACACGUGGGAACGUGCCCUUCGGUUCGGAAUAACUCAGGGAAACUUGAGCUAAUACCGGAUACGCCCUUUUGGGGAAAGGUUGACUGCCGAAGGAUCGGCCCGCGUCUGAUUAGCUUGUUGGGGGGGUAACGGCCUACCAAGGCGACGAUCAGUAGCUGGUCUGAGAGGAUGAUCAGCCACACUGGGACUGAGACACGGCCCAGACUCCUACGGGAGGCAGCAGUGGGGAAUAUUGGACAAUGGGCGCAAGCCUGAUCCAGCCAUGCCGCGUGAGUGAUGAAGGCCUUAGGGUUGUAAAGCUCUUUUGUCCGGGACGAUAAUGACGGUACCGGAAGAAUAAGCCCCGGCUAACUUCGUG
rnacentral:rRNA from 1 species